rnacentral:lncRNA from 1 species
GGGCAGCGGCAGCAAGGAGUGGGAGAGCCAGAGCAGGAUCUUUUUUGACAGCAUAUAUUCCUUAGGAAAGAAAAAAUUUAUAACUUCAAAGUAACAGGCUAGUGAGAUGGGGAAGCUGAGGACCAAAGAGGUUAUGAGAUGUACCUGAAGAUUGUGAAUUCUGGCCGGGUGCAGUGGCUCACGCCUGUAAUCCCAGCACUUUGGGAGGCCGAGGCAGGAUCACCUGAGGUUCCCAGUCUAAGUGGGUGACUUUCCAAGAUAGAGGCAGAUCAUUUCUCCGUCAAGUAUAGAGAGACACAUCUGCUCCUCCUAGAGUGUCCAUAAGUGGAUAAUAUUAAUGCAGCUGUGAUGGAUUUGAAAAAAAAGAAGAUCCGCAGUCUAAGUGAAGAGGUCAAAAUAGGAGCACAUGGAAAACCAGUGAUUUUUCUCCAUCCUAAAGACUGUGGUGGAGUCCUUGUGGAACUGGAGCAAGCUUGAUUUAUAUUUGCAAGCAACUAAAUUAAUUGACCUGAAAAAGCCUAUCAAAUACUAUCAAAAUGUACUAUGACAUUGAGUCCUUCACUGCUUCCAUCAUGUAAAAGUUCACAGUUAAAGACUGAAUUACAGAAAGAUUAAAAUAUAUACAUAUAUAAA